rnacentral:tRNA from 1 species
GAGGGUAUAGCUCAGUGGUAGUGUGUGUGCUUCCAUGCACACGAUCCUGGGUUCAAUCCCCAGGACCUCCA